GCAGUUCUGAGGCCCCACACUUGGUGCCCUUACGUGAGGGGGUGGAGCCAAACACUGUCAUGUGAGGGGGUGGGGCAAGGCCACUGGUGUGGCUCAGGAAGACGAGGGGAUCAGGUUCCCUGUCAAAGGUCCACCUCUGUCUUACACGAGAAGCUGAUGGGGUCAAUCCAGCCGUCUGUUUAAUCCCAGCAACAAAGGAAGAUUGUGGUCCAUAAUAAAUAUGGAAGAAGUGAAAAAAUUUUUGCAAAUCACCAUUUUCCAAAUUCUGAUGAAGUGAUUGAUUCAGACAAUGAUCAUCAAUGAUUGAAACUGUUAGCUAAAAGGCAAACAGAGAUUUAUGAUGGAGGAAUCGGGCUGUCAUCACUGAGCCCACCAUCCCCAUCUUAGUAGGAUGGCUGGACAAUGCACACCUCCUGGUAGGUGUGAUAUGAAGCACACAAUAACACCAAUGGAAGACUCUUGCCAAGAAAGUCAAACUUGAAUUUAAUCCAAACUCUACAGCAGCAGUGUCCAAUAGAACUCCUAUGAUUCUGAAAUGUUUGUAUCCAUAUUGUGUAGUAAGGCAGCCCAAGCCAUGUGUGACUACUGAGCACUUUAAUGGAGGCUAGUACAACUGGAUUUUAUUAAAAUUAAAACUGAAUUUUACAUUUCAUUUUAUUUUAAUUAAUUUAAAUAGCUCUUUUUGGCUAGUGGCUACAGUAUUGGACAGUGUGGUCCUAGAGCUAACUUUCAUUUGCAGGAAAUCCAGGGGAUAGAAGAACAAGCUAGAGGACACCAUAAGG
rnacentral:lncRNA from 1 species